rnacentral:tRNA from 1 species
ACCGCGAUAGCUCAGCUAGUAGAGCAUCUCUCUGGUGUGCAUAUAGUUGCCCGAUUCGAUUUCGGCUCGCGGCG